ACGGAGGAUCCAAGCGUUAUCCGGAAUCAUUGGGUUUAAAGGGUCCGUAGGCGGUUUAGUAAGUCAGUGGUGAAAGCCCAUCGCUCAACGGUGGAACGGCCAUUGAUACUGCUAAACUUGAAUUAUUAGGAAGUAACUAGAAUAUGUAGUGUAGCGGUGAAAUGCUUAGAGAUUACAUGGAAUACCAAUUGCGAAGGCAGGUUACUACUAAUAUAUUGACGCUGAUGGACGAAAGCGUGGGUAGCGAACAGGAUUAGAUACCCUGGUAGUCCACGCCGUAAACGAUGGAUACUAGCUGUUGGGAGCAAUCUCAGUGGCUAAGCGAAAGUGAUAAGUAUCCCACCUGGGGAGUACGUUCGCAAGAAUG
rnacentral:rRNA from 1 species